GGUGCAUGAAGACCAAUCGAGCAGGAGCUCUCGGCAGGGGCGUUCGGUGCGACUGGUGCGCGGCCACCGCACGUGUAUCACUUUAGAGUGUUAAUCAUUUGUGUCAAAUACGUUUUAUUUAUUAUGUACAUCUAUUAGUGUAAUGAAUAAAUGCAAAAGUGUAAGACAUAACACACAGUAAACGGUUUAAUAAUAGAGCGCACUAAUGCUAUGAGGGAUCUCGGUGUCAUACUUGACUGAAAGCUAUCCUUUGAUCAGCAAACGGAGGAUUUGAUUACUCGAGGUAAUCAGAUGCUUGGCAUGAUGUUCCGAGUAACACAAGAUUUAAAAGAUCCAAUCUACAUCAAAACAUUGUACAGCAGUGUUAUCCCCGCCCGGUACUCGAAUACGCCGAACGUAUUAUAAUACACACUAUCAGCUAUAGACACAUUGUAACACACUUCGGAAAGCCAAAUCACACCACUUUAACACAUUCAUAUAACACACUUAGCAAAUCAAAUCAUACUAUAACAAAGCAACCGGAAGAAUUCAGGCCCCACCGUUCAUAUAAAAACAAGCCAAAGAGCGACUUCAGUGUGAUCUGAACCGUGGACGUGAGAGUGUGUGUUUGUGUGCUGCGUGAAUUAUUUUUCCUGCGUGAAACACUUUCCAUACUGCGCCAUCCGCGGUGUUCUUUCUGCUUUAUCGGAGGACAAAUUGUUAUCAUCUAAUUGUUUCGAUGUGUGCUGCUACCGCUAGCUGUUCUCCAAACCUCUUCA